rfam:Gossypium arboreum cultivar AKA8401 contig_41703_1, whole genome shotgun sequence.
AAACCAUGAUGAGGGCACAUUCUUAAAAGAUCCUUAAAUCUCUCUUAUGUAUCAUAAACCGUCUCAAACUCAGAUUGGGUAAAAGAAGAGAUAUCAUUCCCCUACUU